rnacentral:piRNA from 1 species
UGGGUGGAACGCCUGCCUUUAUGGUGGCUC